CAAAGCCACUUAAAGAAGAAACCACUGGCACAACAACUGCUGCUACAACAGCUGUAGUUGAAACCACUACCUCAGUGCCACAGCCCUCAACAACUAGCCCUGAAACAACAGUUGUAACUUCAACACCAACCGUUGAGACAGUGACAACAGUGACUACAGUGACUACAGCAGUAACAACAGAAGGUACUACAGAAAAACCCACUGAAACUUCGACAUCCGAGGUUUCAACAGCUGCGACUGUAUCAACAACAAAGCCACUUAAAGAAGAAACCACUGGCACAACAACUGCUGCUACAACAGCUGUAGUUGAAACAACCACCUCAGUGCCACAGCCCUCAACAACUAGCCCUGAAACAACAGUUGUAACUUCAACACCAACCGUUGAGACGGAGACAACGGUGACUACAGUGACUACAGCAGUAACAACAGAAGGUACUACAGAAAAACCCACUGAAACUUCGACAUCCGAGGUUUCAACAGCUGCGACUGUAUCAACAACAAAGCCACUAAAAGAAGAAACCACUGGCACAACAGCUGUGGUUGAAACCACUACCUCAGUGCCACAGCCCUCAACAACUAGCCCUGAAACAACAGUUGUAACUUCAACACCAACCGUUGAGACAGUGACAACAGUGACCACAGUGACU
ensembl:lncRNA